AAGAACGCUGGCAGCGCUGCCUAACACGAUGCAAGUCGAGACGGGAUUAUAUAUCUUCGCGAUGAUAUCGAGAGUGGCGACGUGAGUCCACACAGUAAGAAUCUCCCUUUAGACGGGGAUAACUUCUGGAAACGGAUGCUAAUACCCGAUAUGCUGUGGAGUGAAAGGAAUUUCGCCUAAAGAUAGAUCUUGCGUCUGAUUAGACUCAGAUAGUGUGGUAAUGGCGCACUAUAGGCGACGAUCAGAUAGACUGGUCUGAGAGGAUGGACAGCCACAUUGGAACUGAAGACACGGUCCAAACUCCUACGGGAGGCAGCAAGUGGGGAAUUUCUCCGCAAUGGGCGAAAGCCUGACGGAGCAGACGCUGCGUGAAGGAUGACGGCCUGCGGGUUGUCCAACUAUCUUUACUCGGAAGAAGAAUAAAUGACGGUAUUCCGACGGAAUAAGCAUCGAGACUAACUCUGUAGCCAAGACAGACCGGCACGUAAAGACAGAAGGAUGCACAGGUGUAAUUACCCGGAAUUUUAUGGACUAU
rnacentral:rRNA from 1 species